AGUUAAGUUAAGUUUUAAGUUCUACGGCUUCGACUACCAGGGCCAUUAGCCGUGUGAAUUAAAGCUCAAUGUGAGAUCACUUUCUUCUUCUGCUGUAUAUGGGCAAAAGUAAAUAUUUCAUUUCGACUAACAUAAUAAGACAUGAACGUGUAGAUAUAAAAUAAAUAAAUAUAUACAUAAAUAGUAAAAUAUAAACAAUAUUUACAACAUAUACAAUAUAGGGAUAACUCUGGUAAAAUAAUUUAGAUGGAAGUAUAUAUAAAAUAAAUAAAUAUAUAAAUAAAAUUAUAAAAUAUAAACAAUAUGUACAAUAUAUUCCAUAUGCAAUGAGUUACAAAUGUUCAGUUGAAAGAGAAAAGCCUAGUCAACACAAAUGGAAUGCCUCUUGAGACAGAUUAUCUUUCAGUGUUAAUCUGAUGUUGAAGUUUUCUCUAAUUAAGGAAUAUUCGGGACAUUCACAUAUAAGGUGAGUUAUUGUUAACAUUUCACCACAGUGCUCACAUUGUGGUUGACUUUCCCUUCUCAGAAGAUAUCCAUGUGUGAGUUGAGUGUGACCAAUACGAAGACGGUGUAUUUUGGUCAUCUGCUCUCUGGAAAGAUUGA